rnacentral:rRNA from 1 species
GUGGGGAAUAUUGGACAAUGGGCGAAAGCCUGAUCCAGCAAUGCCGCGUGUGUGAAGAAGGCCUUCGGGUUGUAAAGCACUUUUGUCCGGAAAGAAAUCCUUUGGGUUAAUACCUCGGAGGGAUGACGGUACCGGAAGAAUAAGGACCGGCUAACUACGUGCCAGCAGCCGCGGUAAUACGUAGGGUCCGAGCGUUAAUCGGAAUUACUGGGCGUAAAGCGUGCGCAGGCGGUUUUGUAAGACAGAUGUGAAAUCCCCGGGCUUAACCUGGGAAUUGCAUUUGUGACUGCAAGGCUAGAGUGUGUCAGAGGGGGGUAGAAUUCCACGUGUAGCAGUGAAAUGCGUAGAGAUGUGGAGGAAUACCGAUGGCGAAGGCAGCCCCCUGGGAUAACACUGACGCUCAUGCACGAAAGCGUGGGGAGCAAACAGGAUUAGAUACCCGGUAGUCC